CUUUACUGUAACUUGAAAUUGAAAUUGGACUUUACUUGCGCAGUAUAGGUGGGAGGCGUUGAAAAUCUUCUUGCGGGAGGAUUGGAGCCAUCAGUGAGAUACCACUCUUGUAAUGUUAGAUUUCUAACUUUGAAUCAUGAUCUGGUCAAAGAACAGUUUCAGGCGGGCAGUUUGACUGGGGCGGUCGCCUCCCAAAUGGUAACGGAGGCGUACAAAGGUUUCCUCUGAACGUGUAGAAAUCGUAUCUAGAGUGUAAAGGCAUAAGGAAGCUUGACUGUGAGACCUACAAGUCGAGCAGGGACGAAAGUCGGUCUUAGUGAUCUGACGGUGCUGAGUGGAAAGGCCGUCACUCAACGGAUAAAAGUUA
rnacentral:rRNA from 1 species